rnacentral:rRNA from 1 species
CACGUAGGUGGCAUGGUAAGUCAAAGGUGAAAGCCCUCGGCUCAACCGAGGAAUUGCCUUUGAAACUGCCUUGCUUGAGUCCGGGAGGGGGGAGCGGAAUUCCCAGUGUAGCGGUGAAAUGCGUAGAUACUGGGAGGAACACCGGUGGCGAAGGCGGCUCCCUGGACCGGUACUGACACUGAGGUGCGAAAGCGUGGGUAGCGAACAGGAUUAGAUACCCUGGUAGUCC